rnacentral:rRNA from 1 species
AUUGAACGCUGGCGGCAUGCCUUACACAUGCAAGUCGAACGGCAGCACGGGAGCAAUCCUGGUGGCGAGUGGCGAACGGGUGAGUAAAGUAUCGGAACGUGCCCAGUCGUGGGGGAUAACGUAGCGAAAGUUACGCUAAUACCGCAUACGAUCUAUGGAUGAAAGCGGGGGAUCGCAAGACCUCGCGCGAUUGGAGCGGCCGAUAUCAGAUUAGGUAGUUGGUGGGGUAAAGGCGCACCAAGCCGACGAUCUGUAGCUGGUCUGAGAGGACGACCAGCCACACUGGGACUGGGACACGGCCCAGACUCCUACGGGAGGCAGCAGUGGGGAAUUUUGGACAAUGGGCGAAAGCCUGAUCCAGCCAUGCCGCGUGCAGGAUGAAGGCCUUCAGGUUGUAAACUGCUUUUGUACGGAACGAAAAGGUUUGGCCUAAUAAGCUGAGCUCAUGACGGUACCGUAAGAAUAAGCACCGGCUAACUACGUGCCAGCCGCCGCCGUAA